GGCUCUGUGGUGAAGAACAUGUCGGGUUGCAAACCCGAAGAUGCAGACUAAUAUUCUGCCGGGGCCU
rnacentral:tRNA from 1 species